rnacentral:snRNA from 1 species
GUGCUCACUUUGGCAGCACAAAUACUAAAAUUGGAACGAUACAGAGAAGAUUAGCAUGGUCAUUGCGCAACGAUGACAUGCAAAUUCGUGAAGCGUUCCAUAUUUUU